rnacentral:lncRNA from 1 species
GAGCUGGCUUGGGUCCCGGCUGGGCCCGGUGUCAGCCCUGCCUCUGUAACGCUAGCUUUGCAAGGCGGGGCUAGGCUUUGCACCGGUGUCCCGUUGCUUGCACAGCACCAGUCCAGAUCCGCUCACCUGGGGAUGUGAAAUAUCAAAUAUUUUUAAGAUAGCCAAUUAUCCUAUUUGGUUUAGAAUGUAGAAUUCUUUAAAAAGUAGGAGACGGGAACAGAUAGAAGUAGAAAAGUCAGCUGGGGCCAGAUGAUAGAAGGUUUCUCAUUCCAGUUUAAUUAACUUGAGUUUUAUUUGCAAGCUGUGAGAGCAUACAAUGUUUUGGCUCAUGGAAACAAACUGACCAAAGAGAUGGCAUUGAGGAUCAAUGAGACUCAUGAGUGGGAUGGUGGCGGAGAAACAGGGCACAGUGAGGGACCUGUGGAGAGGUCAGACAGGCUUGAGGU